CAAAGAGUAGUUUAAGUUGAAAAUACUGGUUUUGGGGACCAGAGAUGAAGUUUCUUUCUUUUUGA
rnacentral:tRNA from 1 species